GUCAAUCGCUCCGGCCUAACGGCUGAGGCUCGAAAAAGCCUGAGGUUGACCAGCCAGAGCCCCGCAAGGGGCUACGUUGUGCAGAAGUUCAAGACCCACUCCGCGAUGCUUCCUCAGUUGCGGACACUGGA
rnacentral:sRNA from 1 species